rfam:Streptomyces sp. CB00455 scaffold5, whole genome shotgun sequence.
CUUCCUCGAUCACGGUCGGGGAGAUGAAGUGCACGUGGGCGUCGAUGGCCCCGGCGGUGACGAUCUUGCCGUUGCCCGCGAUGAUCUCGGUCUCGGGACCGAUGACGAGGGCCGGGUCGACACCGUCCAUGGUGUCCGGGUUGCCGGCCUUGCCGAUGGCGCAGAUGCGGCCGUCGCGGAUGCCGAGGUCCGCCUUGACGAUGCCCCAGUGGUCGAGGACGACCACCCCGGUGAUCACGGUGUCGGGAGCGCCUUCGGCGCGGGUGGUGCGGGCCUGGCCCAUGGACUCGCGGAU